rnacentral:lncRNA from 1 species
AUUCUCAGCACUUUCUUGCCCUCACCUUCUUUCCUCCCCAAAAUACUUUCCCCCUCUCUCUUCCAGGACUUGGCCUUCUUCCGACCUUAGUGGUUUCCAGCUCAUGCAAGACCACCAGUCUCACUGCAGAGCAAGGCUGGUCCGUCUCCCACAGCAGCCCGGCGACGACUCAUCCACCUGGCCCACGCUACCUGCUCAGCAUCUCCAUCCCCAAUCACCUUGUCACCGCUCAAGGCAGGCAGCCUUGAAAUCUGCCUCAACUCAGAACAGAUGCAAUACAUCGACACUCCUGGUUGGAAGAAGGAGGGCAGAUGACCAGAUUUACCCGCUGCACUAGGCAAAGCUAGAGAAAGGAGAGGGAGAGCACGUGUGAGCAAGUGUCCGGCAGCAGGGAAACACUGCUCCAGGCACAGAGCCGGCAUCGCCUAGCGCGUUGUCAGACUGCCACCGCAGACAAAGGACCCUCACCAAAGCAGUUUUGCAGCUCUGAAAGCGCUGCAAAGAGCGAGCGUCUUUCUGCACGGAUCCUCUGUGCAUCUGCAGUUCUCCCUACAUCUGCGAGGAUGAAAGCAGAGCCCUGCAGCUGGGGAAACCAGGAACAGUCUGCUGGAAGAAGGGCUGGAGACAAAGGUCUGCCAUCAUCCUGUGGGAAUAGGAGAGCUGUCUGGAAAACUCAGUGUGAUCAGUGCUUGAAGACAACCUACAAGUCCUUUUCUGGGUAACUCUUGCUUUUGUUUUUUUUCCCUUUUUCAAGUAUUUAAUU